rnacentral:rRNA from 1 species
UACGUAGGGGGCAAGCGUUGCUCGGAAUUACUGGGCGUAAAGGGCGCGUAGGCGGGUCGUUUAGUUAGAGGUGAAAGCCCAGGGCUCAACCCUGGAAUUGCCUUUAAUACUGGCGGCCUUGAGUAUGGCAGAGGUGUGUGGAACUCCGAGUGUAGAGGUGAAAUUCGUAGAUAUUGGGAAGAACACCGGUGGCGAAGGCGGCUCACUGGCUCAUUACUGACGCUCAGGCGCGAUAGCGUGGGGAUCAAACAGG